rnacentral:rRNA from 1 species
GACGAACGCUGGCGGCGUGCUUAACACAUGCAAGUCGAACGAAGAGCGAUGGAAGCUUGCUUCUAUCAAUCUUAGUGGCGAACGGGUGAGUAACGCGUAAUCAACCUGCCCUUCAGAGGGGGACAACAGUUGGAAACGACUGCUAAUACCGCAUACGAUCUAAUCUCGGCAUCGAGGAUAGAUGAAAGGUGGCCUCUACAUGUAAGCUAUCACUGAAGGAGGGGAUUGCGUCUGAUUAGCUAGCUGGAGGGGUAACGGCCCACCAAGGCGAUGAUCAGUAGCCGGUCUGAGAGGAUGAACGGCCACAUUGGGACUGAGACACGGCCCAGACUCCUACGGGAGGCAGCAGUGGGGAAUCUUCCGCAAUGGACGAAAGUCUGACGGAGCAACGCCGCGUGAGUGAUGACGGCCUUCGGGUUGUAAAGCUCUGUUAAUCGGGACGAAAGGCCUUCUUGCGAACAGUUAGAAGGAUUGACGGUACCGGAAUAGAAAGCCACGGCUAACUACGUG